UAGGGAAUCUUCCGCAAUGGGCGAAAGCCUGACGGAGCAACGCCGCGUGAGUGAAGAAGGAUUUCGGUUCGUAAAGCUCUGUUGUUAGGGAAGAAUGAUUGUGUAGUAACUAUACACAGUAGAGACGGUACCUAACCAGAAAGCCACGGCUAACUACGUGCCAGCAGCCGCGGUAAUACGUAGGUGGCAAGCGUUGUCCGGAAUUAUUGGGCGUAAAGCGCGCGCAGGUGGUUUAAUAAGUCUGAUGUGAAAGCCCACGGCUCAACCGUGGAGGGUCAUUGGAAACUGUUAGACUUGAGUGCAGGAGAGAAAAGUGGAAUUCCUAGUGUAGCGGUGAAAUGCGUAGAGAUUAGGAGGAACACCAGUGGCGAAGGUGGCUUUUUGGCCUGUAACUGACACUGAGGCGCGAAAGCGUGGGGAGCAAACAGGAUUAGAUACCCUGGUAGUCCACGCCGUAAAACGAUGAGUGCUAAGUGUUGGUCUCAUAAGAGAUCAGUGCUGCAGCUAACGCAUUAAGCACUCCGCCUGGGGAGUACGACCGCAAGGUU
rnacentral:rRNA from 1 species